rnacentral:rRNA from 1 species
UACGGGGGGGGCAAGCGUUGUUCGGAAUUACUGGGCGUAAAGGGCUCGUAGGCGGCCAACUAAGUCAGACGUGAAAUCCCUCGGCUUAACCGGGGAACUGCGUCUGAUACUGGAUGGCUUGAGUCCGGGAGAGGGAUGCGGAAUUCCCGGUGUAGCAGUGAAAUGCGUAGAGAUGCGGAGGAACACCGAUGGCGAAGGCAGCCCCCUGGGCUGACACUGACGCUCAGGCACGAAAGCGUGGGGAGCAAACAGG